rnacentral:rRNA from 1 species
ACGCUGGCGGCGUGCCUAAUACAUGCAAGUAGAACGCUGAAGAGAGGAGCUUGCUCUUCUUGGAUGAGUUGCGAACGGGUGAGUAACGCGUAGGUAACCUGCCUUGUAGCGGGGGAUAACUAUUGGAAACGAUAGCUAAUACCGCAUAACAAUGGAUGACACAUGUCAUUUAUUUGAAAGGGGCAAUUGCUCCACUACAAGAUGGACCUGCGUUGUAUUAGCUAGUAGGUGAAGUAACGGCUCACCUAGGCGACGAUACAUAGCCGACCUGAGAGGGUGAUCGGCCACACUGGGACUGAGACACGGCCCAGACUCCUACGGGAGGCAGCAGUAGGGAAUCUUCGGCAAUGGGGGCAACCCUGACCGAGCAACGCCGCGUGAGUGAAGAAGGUUUUCGGAUCGUAAAGCUCUGUUGUAAGUCAAGAACGAGUGUGAGAGUGGAAAGUUCACACUGUGACGGUAGCUUACCAGAAAGGGACGGCUAACUACGUGCCAGCAGCCGCGGUAAUACGUAGGUCCCGAGCGUUGUCCGGAUUUAUUGGGCGUAAAGCGAGCGCAGGCGGUUCGAUAAGUCUGAAGUUAAAGGCUGUGGCUCAACCAUAGUUCGCUUUGGAAACUGUCAAACUUGAGUGCAGAAGGGGAGAGUGGAAUUCCAUGUGUAGCGGUGAAAUGCGUAGAUAUAUGGAGGAACACCGGUGGCGAAAGCGGCUCUCUGGUCUGUAACUGACGCUGAGGCUCGAAAGCGUGGGGAGCGAACAGGAUUAGAUACCCUGGUAGUCCACGCCGUAAACGAUGAGUGCUAGGUGUUGGAUCCUUUCCGGGAUUCAGUGCCGCAGCUAACGCAUUAAGCACUCCGCCUGGGGAGUACGACCGCAAGGUUGAAACUCAAAGGAAUUGACGGGGGCCCGCACAA